CCUACGGGAGACAGCAGUGAGGAAUAUUGGUCAAUGGGCGCAAGCCUGACCCAGCCAAGUCGCGUGAGGGAAGACGGUUCUAUGGAUUGUAAACUUCUUUUGUCGGGGAGCAAAAGACGCCACGCGUGGCGUUCCGAGAGUACCCGAAGAAAAAGCAUCGGCUAACUCCGUGCCAGCAGCCGCGGUAAUACGGGGGAUGCGAGCGUUAACCGGAUUUGUUGGGGUAAAGGGGUGCGCAGGCGGAAGAUCAAGUCAGCGGUAAAAUUGAGAGGCUCAACCUCUUCGAGCCGUUGAAACUGGUUUUCUUGAGUGAGUGAGAGGUAUGCGGAAUGCGUGGUGUAGCGGUGAAAUGCAUAGAUAUCACGCAGAACUCCGAUUGCGAAGGCAGCAUACCGGCGCUCAACUGACGCUCAUGCACGAAAGUGUGGGUAUCGAACAGGAUUAGAUACCCCAGUAGUC
rnacentral:rRNA from 1 species